GACGAACGCUGGCGGCGUGCUUAACACAUGCAAGUCGAACGAUGAACUUGGAGCUUGCUCUGGGGGAUUAGUGGCGAACGGGUGAGUAACACGUGAGUAACCUGCCCUGGACUCUGGGAUAACUUCGAGAAAUCGGAGCUAAUACCGGAUAGGACCUUGCACCGCAUGGUGUGGGGUGGAAAGUUUUUCGGUUUGGGAUGGACUCGCGGCCUAUCAGCUUGUUGGUGAGGUAAUGGCUCACCAAGGCGUCGACGGGUAGCCGGCCUGAGAGGGUGACCGGGCACACUGGGGCUGGGGCACGGGCCAGACUCCUACGGGAGGCAGCAGUGGGGAAUAUUGCAGAAUGGGCGCAAGCCUGAUGCAGCAACGCCGCGUGCGGGAUGACGGCCUUCGGGUUGUAAACCGCUUUUAGUAGGGAAGAAGCCUUCGGGUGACGGUACCUGCAGAAAAAGGACCGGCUAACUACGUGCCAGCAGCCGCCGUAAAAC
rnacentral:rRNA from 1 species